rnacentral:rRNA from 1 species
UUUUAUGGAGAGUUUGAUCCUGGCUCAGAGUGAACGCUGGCGGCGUGCCUAAUACAUGCAAGUCGAACGAUGAAGCUUCUAGCUUGCUAGAGUGCUGAUUAGUGGCGCACGGGUGAGUAACGCAUAGGUUAUGUGCCUCUUAGUUUGGGAUAGCCAUUGGAAACGAUGAUUAAUACCAGAUACUCCCUACGGGGGAAAGAUUUAUCGCUAAGAGAUCAGCCUAUGUCCUAUCAGCUUGUUGGUAAGGUAAUGGCUUACCAAGGCUAUGACGGGUAUCCGGCCUGAGAGGGUGAACGGACACACUGGAACUGAGACACGGUCCAGACUCCUACGGGAGGCAGCAGUAGGGAAUAUUGCUCAAUGGGGGAAACCCUGAAGCAGCAACGCCGCGUGGAGGAUGAAGGUUUUAGGAUUGUAAACUCCUUUUGUUAGAGAAGAUAAUGACGGUAUCUAACGAAUAAGCACCGGCUAACUCCGUGCCAGCAGCCGCGGUAAUACGGAGGGUGCAAGCGUUACUCGGAAUCACUGGGCGUAAAGAGCGCGUAGGCGGGAUAGUCAGUCAGGUGUGAAAUCCUAUGGCUUAACCAUAGAACUGCAUUUGAAACUACUAUUCUAGAGUGUGGGAGAGGUAGGUGGAAUUCUUGGUGUAGGGGUAAAAUCCGUAGAGAUCAAGAGGAAUACUCAUUGCGAAGGCGACCUGCUGGAACAUUACUGACGCUGAUUGCGCGAAAGCGUGGGGAGCAAACAGGAUUAGAUACCCUGGUAGUCCACGCCCUAAACGAUGGAUGCUAGUUGUUGGAGGGCUUAGUCUCUCCAGUAAUGCAGCUAACGCAUUAAGCAUCCCGCCUGGGGAGUACGGUCGCAAGAUUAAAACUCAAAGGAAUAGACGGGGACCCGCACAAGCGGUGGAGCAUGUGGUUUAAUUCGAAGAUACACGAAGAACCUUACCUAGGCUUGACAUUGAGAGAAUCCGCUAGAAAUAGUGGAGUGUCUGGCUUGCUAGACCUUGAAAACAGGUGCUGCACGGCUGUCGUCAGCUCGUGUCGUGAGAUGUUGGGUUAAGUCCCGCAACGAGCGCAACCCCCUUUCUUAGUUGCUAACAGGUUAUGCUGAGAACUCUAAGGAUACUGCCUCCGUAAGGAGGAGGAAGGUGGGGACGACGUCAAGUCAUCAUGGCCCUUACGCCUAGGGCUACACACGUGCUACAAUGGGGUGCACAAAGAGAAGCAAUACUGCGAAGUGGAGCUAAUCUUCAAAACACCUCUCAGUUCGGAUUGUAGGCUGCAACUCGCCUGCAUGAAGCUGGAAUCGCUAGUAAUCGCAAAUCAGCCAUGUUGCGGUGAAUACGUUCCCGGGUCUUGUACUCACCGCCCGUCACACCAUGGGAGUUGUGUUUGCCUUAAGUCAGGAUGCUAAAUUGGCUACUGCCCACGGCACACACAGCGACUGGGGUGAAGUCGUAACAAGGUAACCGUAGGUGAACCUGCGGUUGGAUCACCUCCUUUCUAGA